rnacentral:rRNA from 1 species
AGCGAACGCUGGCGGCAGGCCUAACACAUGCAAGUCGAACGGAUCCUUCGGGAUUAGUGGCGGACGGGUGAGUAACACGUGGGAACGUGCCCUUUGGUUCGGAACAACUCAGGGAAACUUGAGCUAAUACCGGAUGUGCCCUUCGGGGGAAAGAUUUAUCGCCAUUGGAGCGGCCCGCGUCUGAUUAGCUAGUUGGUGAGGUAAAGGCUCACCAAGGCGACGAUCAGUAGCUGGUCUGAGAGGAUGAUCAGCCACAUUGGGACUGAGACACGGCCCAAACUCCUACGGGAGGCAGCAGUGGGGAAUCUUGCGCAAUGGGCGAAAGCCUGACGCAGCCAUGCCGCGUGAAUGAUGAAGGUCUUAGGAUUGUAAAAUUCUUUCACCGGGGACGAUAAUGACGGUACCUGAAGAAUAAGCACCGGCUAACUACGUGCCAGCCGCCGCCGUAAUAC